UUUAUGGAGAGUUUGAUCCUGGCUCAGGAUGAACGCUGGCGGCGUGCCUAAUACAUGCAAGUCGAGCGAACAGACAAGGAGCUUGCUCCUUUGACGUUAGCGGCGGACGGGUGAGUAACACGUGGGUAACCUACCUAUAAGACUGGGAUAACUUCGGGAAACCGGAGCUAAUACCGGAUAAUAUUUCGAACCGCAUGGUUCGAUAGUGAAAGAUGGUUUUGCUAUCACUUAUAGAUGGACCCGCGCCGUAUUAGCUAGUUGGUAAGGUAACGGCUUACCAAGGCGACGAUACGUAGCCGACCUGAGAGGGUGAUCGGCCACACUGGAACUGAGACACGGUCCAGACUCCUACGGGAGGCAGCAGUAGGGAAUCUUCCGCAAUGGGCGAAAGCCUGACGGAGCAACGCCGCGUGAGUGAUGAAGGUCUUCGGAUCGUAAAACUCUGUUAUUAGGGAAGAACAUACGUGUAAGUAACUAUGCACGUCUUGACGGUACCUAAUCAGAAAGCCACGGCUAACUACGUGCCAGCAGCCGCGGUAAUACGUAGGUGGCAAGCGUUAUCCGGAAUUAUUGGGCGUAAAGCGCGCGUAGGCGGUUUUUUAAGUCUGAUGUGAAAGCCCACGGCUCAACCGUGGAGGGUCAUUGGAAACUGUAAAACUUGAGUGCAGAAGAGGAAAGUGGAAUUCCAUGUGUAGCGGUGAAAUGCGCAGAGAUAUGGAGGAACACCAGUGGCGAAGGCGACUUUCUGGUCUGUAACUGACGCUGAUGUGCGAAAGCGUGGGGAUCAAACAGGAUUAGAUACCCUGGUAGUCCACGCCGUAAACGAUGAGUGCUAAGUGUUAGGGGGUUUCCGCCCCUUAGUGCUGCAGCUAACGCAUUAAGCACUCCGCCUGGGGAGUACGACCGCAAGGUUGAAACUCAAAGGAAUUGACGGGGACCCGCACAAGCGGUGGAGCAUGUGGUUUAAUUCGAAGCAACGCGAAGAACCUUACCAAAUCUUGACAUCCUUUGACAACUCUAGAGAUAGAGCCUUCCCCUUCGGGGGACAAAGUGACAGGUGGUGCAUGGUUGUCGUCAGCUCGUGUCGUGAGAUGUUGGGUUAAGUCCCGCAACGAGCGCAACCCUUAAGCUUAGUUGCCAUCAUUAAGUUGGGCACUCUAAGUUGACUGCCGGUGACAAACCGGAGGAAGGUGGGGAUGACGUCAAAUCAUCAUGCCCCUUAUGAUUUGGGCUACACACGUGCUACAAUGGACAAUACAAAGGGCAGCGAAACCGCGAGGUCAAGCAAAUCCCAUAAAGUUGUUCUCAGUUCGGAUUGUAGUCUGCAACUCGACUACAUGAAGCUGGAAUCGCUAGUAAUCGUAGAUCAGCAUGCUACGGUGAAUACGUUCCCGGGUCUUGUACACACCGCCCGUCACACCACGAGAGUUUGUAACACCCGAAGCCGGUGGAGUAACCAUUUGGAGCUAGCCGUCGAAGGUGGGACAAAUGAUUGGGGUGAAGUCGUAACAAGGUAGCCGUAUCGGAAGGUGCGGCUGGAUCACCUCCUUU
rfam:Staphylococcus haemolyticus JCSC1435 DNA, complete genome.